CAGAAAUGUUUUUGCUUCCCUCUGUGAAGACAUUCUCCAGGAUCACACUCGUAGGACCACAGCAGGGGAAAUGGAGGAGCAUAUUACGUGGCCACUUGCAGUUGCUUCAGACUCAGAAGUUGUUCAUCAACCACCAGUUCGGGUUUGCCAGUCUAUGCUACUUCCAGUGAGCUUCAGCGAGCCACGGCCCACACCUGCUGCUGAUUCACGAAGAAGCAGAGUGUAUCAAUCACCACAGAGACAGGUACCAAAACCAGCACCAGCACCAGUGCAAAGACCAGUACCAAGACCAGCACCAGUACAAAGACCAGUGCCAAGACCGGCACCAGCAGUCAUCGGUCAGGCAAGCCUGCAGUAUGGGGCAAAGCCUGUGGGCCUGCCUGGUCUUGCUGACGGGAGGCUGUUCAACAUUUACCCCAGCCAGGCACACUACAAGCUGAGGACAACUGCUUGAAAGUGAAGGACUGAGUCUUGUUCCAGCGUUCCAGUCUGCAGUCACUGGCGGGGGCUUCCCUUCCAUUUGGUUAUCUAUUUGAUUUCUGUUUAAACUCACUAAUGACUGACUUUCUCCAUUUUACCAGCCCUCAGUUUUGGGACAGUCUUUGAGAUGCUGUUAUAAACCUGUUUUUCCUCUCACAGCAUUUGUUGUUUCAGAAUUCCACUAGGAAAUGGAACAAUUAUGGCUUACAUAAUUGUACUUCUAUUUAUCAUUUUUUAUUUUCUAAUCUACAGGCCUGUCAUGUAAUACAGUGUAAUAAAUCAAAAAUGAAUUGACAAACAAAACCUUUAUGUAUGAAUGUCAAAGUCUGUAAGCACAUGUUAAGUAUGAAAUUACAUUUUCUAGUGUAACUGAGGAACUUUUUGAGUAUUGGUACUUUUGGAGUCUAUAUUUUUUUAAGUUAGUAAUUUUACUGUCAGACUGGACUUGUUUGUCUAUGUAUGUCUGGAGGUUUUUUAAGUAUUGUGCUUUGUUGCAUUUAAGUCUACUUCAGAUACUGCAUAAAACUAUAGCUUGUAGGGGAGAGAGUGAA